UGGAGGUUCCUCAAAAAAAUUAAAAAUAGAACUACCCUAUGACCCAGAAACUGAACUACUAGGAAUUUACUGUAAAGAUACAAAAG